rnacentral:rRNA from 1 species
GACGGGGCCCGCACAAGCGGUGGAGCAUGUGGUUUAAUUCGAUGAUACGCGAGGAACCUUACCUGGGCUCAAAUGUAUGUUGACGUAUUCUGAAAGGGAUACUUCUUCGGACAAUAUACAAGGUGCUGCAUGGUUGUCGUCAGCUCGUGCCGUGAGGUGUCGGGUUAAGUCCCAUAACGAGCGCAACCCCUAUCAUUAGUUGCCAUCAGGUCAAGCUGGGGACUCUAAUGAAACUGCCUACGCAAGUAGUGAGGAAGGUGGGGAUGACGUCAAAUCAGCACGGCCCUUACGUCCAGGGCUACACACGUGCUACAAUGGCCGGUACAAAGGGCAGCUACCUGGUGACAGGAUGCUAAUCUCAAAAGCCGGUCUCAGUUCGGAUCGGAGUCUGCAACCCGACUCCGUGAAGUUGGAAUCGCUAGUAAUCGCGCAUCAGCAUGGCGCGGUGAAUACGUUCCCGGGCCUU